rnacentral:rRNA from 1 species
GGGGAAUAUUGCACAAUGGGCGAAAGCCUGAUGCAGCAACGCCGCGUGAGCGAUGAAGGCCUUCGGGUCGUAAAGCUCUGUCCCAAGGGAAGAUAAUGACGGUACCUUGGGAGGAAGCCCCGGCUAACUACGUGCCAGCAGCCGCGGUAAUACGUAGGGGGCAAGCGUUAUCCGGAAUCACUGGGCGUAAAGGGUGCGUAGGCGGUCUUGCAAGCCAGAGGUGAAAGGCUAUGGCUCAACCAUAGUGAGCCUUUGGAACUGCCGGACUUGAGCACAGGAGAGGAAAGUGGAAUUCCUAGUGUAGCGGUGAAAUGCGUAGAUAUUAGGAGGAACACCAGUGGCGAAGGCGACUUUCUGGACUGUUACUGACGCUGAGGCACGAAAGCGUGGGGAGCGAAC